AUUGAACGCUGGCGGCAGGCCUAACACAUGCAAGUCGCACGAGUGGCGGACGGGUGAGUAAUGUCUGGGAAACUGCCUGAUGGAGGGGGAUAACUACUGGAAACGGUAGCUAAUACCGCAUACCAUCAGAUGUGCCCAGAUGGGAUUAGCUUGUUGGUGGGGUAACGGCUCACCAAGGCGACGAUCCCUAGCUGGUCUGAGAGGAUGACCAGCAACACUGGAACUGAGAAACGGUCCAGACUCCUACGUGAGGCAGCAGUGGGGAAUAUUGCACAAUGGGCGCAAGCCUGAUGCAGCCAUGCCGCUUGUAUGUAGAAGGCCUGCGGGUGGUAAAGUACCUUCAGCCUGGAUGUGUUACCCGCACAAGAAGCACCUGUCAACUCUGUGUCAGCAGCCGCGGUAAUUC
rnacentral:rRNA from 1 species